AGGGAUGAUCACAUAUUGUUGGAAGCGAGGGGUAGGUACAUUACCGAUGACCCCACAAUUCGCCUAUACUUUGUUAUAAAAAAAAAAGAGAAAAUUUUGAAAAUGAGAUGAGAAAAUAUGGCUGUAUCAGCAUCAUUGAUCAUUUGAUUUGAGAUUAAAAAGAUUCAGAGAAAAGAGAAAAAGAGAAAGAGAAAGGUUUAGAAAAGACUGCAUGUUAGUCUAGAUACUUGUUUGAGUAAGAGUCCAUGUGUUCAGUAAUCAAUAUUCCCAACAUCUAACCUACACAUUUUAUAUGCAGAAAUGAGGUUAGUAGAGGGCUAUGUCAGGCGUUAUUAGUGGAGUUGUGAGAUGUAUGGUAUGUUGCUAAGCUAGAGUGUAGUACAUUGAAACAUUUCUAAGGUUAGUAUUGAUUCACUUCCACCUAUAACUUUGCAGAGAUGAUGGUAGUGUUUCUAGAGAUUGUUUGAGUCCCCGCCGUUUUAA
rnacentral:lncRNA from 1 species